rnacentral:rRNA from 1 species
UAGGGAAUCUUCCACAAUGGACGAAAGUCUGAUGGAGCAACGCCGCGUGAGUGAAGAAGGGUUUCGGCUCGUAAAACUCUGUUGUUAAAGAAGAACAUAUCUGAGAGUAACUGUUCAGGUAUUGACGGUAUUUAACCAGAAAGCCACGGCUAACUACGUGCCAU